AUUUGACCUCAAAUCAGGUAGGAACACCCGCUGAACUUAAGCAUAUCAAUAAGCGGAGGAAAAGAAAAUAACAAUGAUUCCCCUAGUAACUGCGAGUGAAGAGGGACAAGCUCAAAUUUUAAAUCUAUCGGGUUUUACCUGAUCGAGUUGUAAUUUGAAGAAGCGUUUUCUGCGUUUUUGGUCAGCUCAAGUCCUAUUGAAUGAGGCAUCAUGGAGGGUGAUAAUCCCGUCCGGUUGAUCAUUUGCGUUUUACGAUGCGCUCUCUAAGAGUCAAGUUGUUUGGGAUUGCAGCUUAAAAUGGGAGGUAAAUUUCUCCUAAGGCUAAAUAACGGCGAGAGACCGAUAGCGAACAAGUACCGUGAGGGAAAGAUGAAAAGAACUUUGAAAAGAGAGUUAAACAGUACGUGAAAUUGUUGAAAGGGAAACGAUUGAAGCCAGUCGUACCUUCGGGUAAUCAGCCUUUCGGGUGCGAUUCUGUGGAGUGUGAGGAGCUUAACACCUUCAUGCUUUGCAUAUUUGUGCUCUUGGGUGUACUUGCCCGUGUGGUUGGUUAACAUCAAUUUUGAUUAUCAUAAAAUGACUGGAGGAAUGUAGCUUCGAUCUCGUAUUGAAGUGUUAUAGCCUUUGGUAGAUGUGAUGAUCGAGAUUGAGGAUUGCAACGGAUACCCUUCGGGGCUACCUGUCUGGUCUCUGAUCGUUGCUCUGGUGCCGAAAGCGUGCUUACGGUUAUCAAAGUCGAUGGUCAAUAGGUUAGAACGGGUUAAAUUCGUUAAGGAUGUUGACGUAAUGGCUUUAAACGACCCGUCUUGAAACACGGACCA
rnacentral:rRNA from 1 species